UAAGACGAAGGUGGCAAGCGUUGUUCGGAAUCACUGGGCUUAAAGAGCACGUAGGCGGCUCGUCAAGUGUCUUGUGAAAUCCCUCGGCUCAACCGAGGAAUUGCUGGGCAAACUGACUGGGCUUGAGGCAGGUAGGGGCGCGUGGAACUCUUGGUGGAGCGGUGGAAUGCGUAGAUAUCAAGAGGAACGCCAGAGGCGAAAGCGAUGCGCUGGGCCUGUCCUGACGCUGAGGUGCGAAAGCCAGGGGAGCAAACGGG
rnacentral:rRNA from 1 species